ensembl:snRNA U6 U6 spliceosomal RNA
GUGUUCACUUCAGCAGCACAUACACUAAAACUGGAACAAUAUAGAGAAAAUUAGUAUGGGCCCUGCUCAUAUAUGACAUGAAAAUUCAUGAAGCAUUCCAUAUUUUU